rnacentral:lncRNA from 10 species
CAGUCAGAUUCCCUCACUAAUGCAAUUGCAGAUUCCUACAUUUCUUCCUGAAGGUGGCAGUAUUUUAGUGACAAAAACUGACAACAAGCUGAGGAACUGUACCAGAGCUCUCGGAGAUCAACAAAGGUGCCGCUUUUGAAUGUGAAAGUUUUUUCAAGACUUUUCUAUUUCUUGGUUUGAAUCGUGUGCCUGUAGGGACACAUGCUACCUGCUUACUGGACAGUGACUACUUAGGAUAAGGACUCAGAAUGAUUAGUGGCAGAGGAAUCAUCUAAGAAAACUGAGAAGACUCUGCCAGAGUGAUGGGAAGAAAACUAGAUGAGAAAGCACCAUUCUGGAAGACAUGCUCCCAUGAACCAUGGAGAGAAGAGGAGAGGGAAGAAGUUAUUUGUGAUGUCAUUUGCCUGUGUCAUGGCCUGCCUUCCCUAGAUAUUGUCCUAAUGUGAGCAUCACACCUAAGGUACUGAAGUAGAGUUCUGGCUGUUCCUUACGGACAUCUCUGGUGGACCUCCAUCUGUUUUUGAUACAAGUCAGUCU